GAUGAACGCUGGCGGCGUGCCUAAUACAUGCAAGUCGAGCGAACGGACGAGAAGCUUGCUUCUCUGACGUUAGCGGCGGACGGGUGAGUAACACGUGGAUAACCUACCUAUAAGACUGGGAUAACUUCGGGAAACCGGAGCUAAUACCGGAUGAUAUUUUGAACCGCAUGGUUCAACAGUGAAAGACGGUCUUGCUGUCACUUAUAGAUGGAUCCGCGCUGCAUUAGCUAGUUGGUAAGGUAACGGCUUACCAAGGCAACGAUGCAUAGCCGACCUGAGAGGGUGAUCGGCCACACUGGAACUGAGACACGGUCCAGACUCCUACGGGAGGCAGCAGUAGGGAAUCUUCCGCAAUGGGCGAAAGCCUGACGGAGCAACGCCGCGUGAGUGAUGAAGGUCUUCGGAUCGUAAAACUCUGUUAUUAGGGAAGAACAUAUGUGUAAGUAACUGUGCACAUCUUGACGGUACCUAAUCAGAAAGCCACGGCUAACUACGUG
rnacentral:rRNA from 1 species